AUUGAACGCUGGCGGCAGGCCUAACCCAUGCACGUCGAGCGAGCGGCGGACGGGUGAGUAAUGUCUGGGAAACUGCCUGAUGGAGGGGGAUAACUACUGGAAACGGUAGCUAAUACCGCAUACCAUCAGAUGUGCCCAGAUGGGAUUAGCUAGUAGGUGGGGUAACGGCUCACCUAGGCGACGAUCCCUAGCUGGUCUGAGAGGAGGACCAGCAACACUGGAACUGAGACACGGGCCAGACUCCUACGGGAGGCCGCAGGGGGGAAGAUUGCACAAUGGGCGCAAGCCUGAUGCAGCCAUGCCGCGUGUGUGAAGAAGGCCUUCGGGUUGUAAAGUACUUUCAGCGGGGAGGCGGUACCCGCAGAAGAAGCACCGGCUAACUACGUGCCAGCAGCCGCGGUAAUAC
rnacentral:rRNA from 1 species